GAUGAGCGCUGGCGGCGUGCCUAAUACAUGCAAGUCGAGCGAACAGACGAGGAGCUUGCUCCUCUGACGUUAGCGGCGGACGGGUGAGUAACACGUGGAUAACCUACCUAUAAGACUGGGAUAACUUCUGGAAACCGGAGCUAAUACCGGAUAAUAUAUUGAACCGCAUGGUUCAAUAGUGAAAGACGGUUUUGCUGUCACUUAUAGAUGGAUCCGCGCCGCAUUAGCUAGUUGGUAAGGUAACGGCUUACCAAGGCAACGAUGCGUAGCCGACCUGAGAGGGUGAUCGGCCACACUGGAACUGAGACACGGUCCAGACUCCUACGGGAGGCAGCAGUAGGGAAUCUUCCGCAAUGGGCGAAAGCCUGACGGAGCAACGCCGCGUGAGUGAUGAAGGUCUUCGGAUCGUAAAACUCUGUUAUUAGGGAAGAACAAAUGUGUAAGUAACUAUGCACGUCUUGACGGUACCUAAUCAGAAAGCCACGGCUAACUACGUG
rnacentral:rRNA from 1 species